AGUCAGUUUUUUUUCGUGGACCUACACUGAUGGGAACAGUCAUGCUAUAGCCAUGAGCAAUUUAAUGCUGAUAAUUAGAUAAAGAGUGGAUUAAACAUUAUUUCGUUUCGCGUUAUUGGUUCUGAAAGGUAUCCGCACCUAGGAGAAGGUGUUUUGGGUUGUCGGACAUCGUGUUUUUUUGAGGGAAAACUCCGGUUAUUUUUUUUUUUCCUGUGUAUGAAUCGAUGCUGAUGGCGAGCUAGAGCCCAGACCCGAGGAACGUGGAGCAGAGCACCGGCUUACAUGCGUGGGAGAGGUGUGACGUCAGAAGCAGCUUCUUCAAGCAUCCGGAGAAAGCACAUCUAUUAUAUCAUACAGAGUCAAUGAGGCUGUGCAUUGGAGGCUGGCACAGCUGGUGGGAGCAGGAGACUAACAUCUGGAACCUCGCACUCUUGGUGCCAUUGUUAAUAAGAGGCUGGUGGGGAAUGGAGGAGAGUGGAGGAGACAACUCUCCAGUGUCAAUGGACCUCCCUGUCUUUCACUUCAACUUUACUACUGCAACUCCUACUGAAUGCAUUACAUGUGCAUAAAAAGUGGGGCCCCACCAUCGCAGCAGAUCUGCAACUAAGAUGUCGGAGGUAAAUCUCAAACCCAAGUCCAGAUAAAAAACUAAUGACACUAAUGGACCAUUUUGUUCCUUUUGGUUCCUUUUGGUUCCUUUUGGUUGCUUUACAUAUUCUUUACCUUUGGAAACUGUCAUAAAUAAUAAACAUAUACAUGCCC